CUAACAUGCAAGUCGAGCGGUAGAGAGAAGCUUGCUUCUCUUGAGAGCGGCGGACGGGUGAGUAAUGCCUAGGAAUCUGCCUGGUAGUGGGGGAUAACGCUCGGAAACGGACGCUAAUACCGCAUACGUCCUACGGGAGAAAGCAGGGGACCUUCGGGCCUUGCGCUAUCAGAUGAGCCUAGGUCGGAUUAGCUAGUUGGUGAGGUAAUGGCUCACCAAGGCGACGAUCCGUAACUGGUCUGAGAGGAUGAUCAGUCACACUGGAACUGAGACACGGUCCAGACUCCUACGGGAGGCAGCAGUGGGGAAUAUUGGACAAUGGGCGAAAGCCUGAUCCAGCCAUGCCGCGUGUGUGAAGAAGGUCUUCGGAUUGUAAAGCACUUUAAGUUGGGAGGAAGGGCAGUUACCUAAUACGUAUCUGUUUUGACGUUACCGACAGAAUAAGCACCGGC
rnacentral:rRNA from 1 species